rnacentral:rRNA from 1 species
CGGCAGGAGCUCAAAUUUGAAAUCUGGGGUCCCCGGCCUCCGAGUUGUAAUUUGGAGAGGCAUCUUCGGGGGGGAGCGCCGGCCCAAGUUCCUUGGAACAGGACGUCGCAGAGGGUGAGAAUCCCGUGCCAGGCCGGCAGCCUCCUCCCGGGUGAAGGUCCUUCGACGAGUCGAGUUGUUUGGGAAUGCAGCUCCAAGUGGGUGGUAUAUUUCAUCUAAAGCUAAAUACCGGCGGGAGACCGAUAGCGCACAAGUAGAGUGAUCGAAAGAUGAAAAGCACUUUGAAAAUAGAGUCAAAAAGUACGUGAAAUUGUUGAAAGGGAAGCGCUUGAGACCAGACUCAGACCCGGGCAAACACCGCGCCCCCCGGGGCCGUGCAAUUGCCUGGGGCUGGGCCAGCAUCAGUUGGCGUGGCGGGACAAAGGCGGGGGCAAUGUGGCUCCCCUCGGGGAGUGUUAUUAGGCCCCGGCUCAAUGCCGCCGACGUCGACUGAGG